rnacentral:rRNA from 1 species
GACGAACGCUGGCGGCGUGCUUAACACAUGCAAGUCGAACGGAAAGGCCCUGCUUUUGUUGGGUGCUCGAGUGGCGAACGGGUGAGUAACACGUGAGUAACCUGCCCUUGACUUUGGGAUAACACCAGGAAACUGGGGCUAAUACCGGAUAGGAGCUCCUGCUGCAUGGUGGGGGUUGGAAAGAUUCGGCGGUUGGGGAUGGACUCGCGGCUUAUCAGCGUGUUGGGGGGGUAGCGGCUUACCAAGGUUUUGACGGGUAGCCGGCCUGAGAGGGGGACCGGCAACAAGGGAAAGGAGAAACGGUCCAGACUCCUACGGGAGGCAGCAGGAGGGAAUCGCACGCAAGGGGCGGAAGCCUGACGGAGCAACGCCGCGUGAGUGAUGAAGGUCUGCGGAGCGUAAAACUCUGUGAUUAGGGAAGAAAAAAUGUGUAAGUAACUAUGCACGGCUUGACGGUACAUAAUCAGAAAGCCACGGCUAACUACGUG